GCAUAAAAACAAACCGCAGAAGAAGACGCGAGGCUCGUUCAGGUGAGAAAGGUGCACCUGCGGCGUUGCAGACCAGCGUGACGAACUAAUUUUACUGCAUGUGGUGAAACAGACCACGUUAGACCUGGGGCCUGUACUACGAAGCAAGUUCAACUAAGUCUGGCUUUCUUUGGUUGAGCUGGCUUCACUGAACCUAACAUUGGCCGUCCUGGAUAACAACACCACGAAGCUGACUAUCAACUAGCUAACUCAACCCUGAGUUUUCCUAUCCAGGCACUUCAGUGUGGACGGAGAUUUAUACUAAAAAGACCUGAGACCAGAGCUGAGCUCCGAUCGUGGGGAUGGACGCAGGUUGGUUGCUGAAACAAAACUUAGCUGGAUUCAUAGCAGUUGGUAUGUAUCAGGUAAAGGUUUUGUGACAAUUUAGCACUGCAGUCAUGUCAUCAAUGGUAAAUGUAUUUUAUGUUUACUGUAUGUAAAGUUGUACAGUAAUGUGGCAAUAUAAAUGAAUAACUAUGGACAUGGCUGUGAUUAUGGCUAUGAUUAUAGCUAUUGCUGUGGCUGGUGUGAUACAGAUUUUUAAUGUGUGACAUUAACUAACUUACAACUAGCCCCAGUAUAAACUGUCAUGUUUGUGUUGGCUGAGUGUUGUGGUGAAGCUACUCCUGAACUCUCGUGGUGUAUGGGUAACACAUCUAUCAUAUGUGAUAGAAGAACCAGGUUCAAGUCCUGGCGGGAGUGUCUGGCUUUUCAAUGCUUUCAAUGCUGGCCGAUGUCUUGUUUAGUCAGUGCCAAUUAGAGCCAUAGUGAUAUCCAUUUAGCUACAGCAACAGCCGUUAGAUACAGUAAUAGCUACAGCCACAGCAGCAGAAAUGGCUGGUGGUCACAGCCAGUGGUAAUGGGUACAGUUGGAGCUCGGCGUUCCUCCUGAUUUGGUGUGGAUGCACAUCGUUAUCAUACAUAAAUGGUGAUUUAAUACUUAAUUGGCUGUGUGGAGGUACUCUAAUUUGAAUUGAAAGUAAUGCACUUAUGAGGGGUGUUUUUACUUUCGUAUAUACUUCUGUAGUUUGUAACAGUUUUUGUCUGUUAUAGAUACCGAUAUUUCAUUUUAGAGCUUUUAUAGGCCGAUACCAAUGACGUGCUGAUAUCGUGCAUCCGUAGUUUUUAUAUCUUGCUCUUAAAUAAGAUGAUCUGCAGGAAUGGCUAGAAGGUCUCCACAACUUUGACAACCAUUACAUUGAACUUUGAACUAUGCUCAUAUCUGACAUAAAAGUGGGUAUAAAUGCAAUAGUAGUGGUGAGAAAAAUGCUCAAAAGUUUGUCCUGUUGCUUAGAACUCACUUCCAAAGUAUACAUAGCAGAUUUUUGAAUUUUGCCUUCAUUUUUAGAAUCAUGUUUCUGUGUGAGAGGUGGUCAAUUCACAGGAAAGCCUGAGGAGACUAAAAUUUCCUGCCAGAGACACUAUCCUCCAUUCAUGUCGCCACUUUGAGAUAUUGACAAGUCAUGAUCGUUCAUAUUCUUGCUUGCUGCAGUUACUAACCUCCAGUAGUUUUGAUCGACCUGCACAAAAAAGGAUUAUUGACCUUUCCCGGUAUGUCACUGUCUCAUGUGCAUUGGGUAGAGGAGCCAAUAAAUGACUAGUUUUUCUCUCAGUGAGCGACGUGAAAGAGACUUCAGUGGUGAAGUUAAAAUUGAAGAUUUCUGGGGUUCUGUUCAGCUGGAAAUGAUUUCUUGUGGCUUUGUCCAAAGUGAUUGCAUGCUCUCAAAUUUCUUCUAAAUUAGCAAUUACCUUUAUUGAAUGCUAUGGUGUAAUUACCGUAUGAUUAAUACCUUUCGAACAGCUUGUCUGUAAAUCCCAGCUUUGAUCACUGGGCCCCAUGAAUUGGGAAGGAUGCAGUGUUAAUCACAGUUUGACAAAGUUUCUCCGCUGAAGUCAGCGUGUUGUCGGAGGACUGUCUUGUGGAUGAGCUCAUUAAGCAGAAUUUACCAGGGCCUUCCAAAAAGCAUGUGAUGUAAAGUAUGUAUUGCUAUAUUUUGCAGACAUAUCUUCCCUAUUUUUUUCUAUCUCAGGUUUUUCUGUGGGCAAGAUGUGCAAGGCCUGCAAUGUAGACCUGAAGGGAUCACAGAUGGAUCUAAUAAUGAGACUCCAGGAGGAGAUGAAGACAAGACACAUAGACACAAGAUAUUCUAGAAAAUCUGAGGCCAUAUCUGGUAAGGGUCACAUGUGAUCAUUACAAGUCAUAGACUGUUUGAGAUUGUCCACUUGCAUAUUUCUCACUUUACUGUUUCACGCGAGUUCAACCUGAUAGCAGAGUGUGGAAGAGGUUUUGCUGUUCAUCUUCUGUCCUGGAAACACCUGCCAAAUGUCCACGAGGCCAGCAUCAGAGGGAUCAACCUGGGCACUGAACUUCACUCACUGAAUAGCCAGGUGAGCAGACAAACAUCUAUCUCCUUGAUAACAUGACACCAUUAACACUAAUGAGAAAGAUGGUACAGCUCAGAAACAAUGACGCAAACAGAAAGCUUUUGUAACAGCGACUUAAUGAUUUGGGUCAAAGCAGUGUUAGGUAGGUAUCAAGUUCAGGUAACAUGGUUUGUUUUACAGUUGUAAUGUGAAAUAUGAUGUUCGUGUGGACUGAAAAAUAUUCCUUUCCAUAUAAUGCAUAUUUUUAUAUCUCUUCAAGUGCCAGGACCCCCAUAACUAGGAACAACUGUACACUGCCAAACCUCUGUGUCAGAGCUUCACACUGACACAGACAAAGAUGCAUCAAGAGUCCUCCUGCCAGGUGAAGUGCAACUAGUGUUCCCGAUGCCGAGAUGAAAGCUUGACGACAUUUCUGAGGAGGCUGAGGUGUUAUGCUGCUGCAGAACGGGUGAAGAAAACCCUACACAUCUUUGCAACCAUUGUGGAUUUGACCUGGUAGUCCAU